rnacentral:rRNA from 1 species
ACUCCUACGGGAGGCAGCAGUGGGGAAUUGUUCGCAAUGGGCGCAAGCCUGACGACGCAACGCCGCGUGGAGGAUGAAGAUCUUCGGGUCGUAAACUCCUUUCGAUUGGGAAGAAUUCCUUUGUGAUGAACAAUCACGAAGGUUGACGGUACCGAGAGAAGAAGCCCCGGCUAACUCCGUGCCAGCAGCCGCGGUAAUACGGGGGGGGCAAGCGUUGUUCGGAAUUACUGGGCGUAAAGGGCUCGUAGGCGGCCGACUAAGUCAGACGUGAAAUCCCUCGGCUUAACCGGGGAACUGCGUCUGAUACUGGUGGGCUUGAGUUUGGGAGAGGGAUGCGGAAUUCCAGGUGUAGCGGUGAAAUGCGUAGAUAUCUGGAGGAACACCGGUGGCGAAGGCGGCAUCCUGGACCAACACUGACGCUGAGGAGCGAAAGCCAGGGGAGCAAACGGGAUUAGAUACCCCGGUAGUCCUGGCCCUAAACGAUGAAUGCUUGGUGUGACGGGUAUCGAUCCCUGUCGUGCCGAAGCUAACGCAUUAAGCAUUCCGCCUGGGGAGUACGGUCGCAAGGCUGAAACUCAAAGAAUUGACG